rnacentral:rRNA from 1 species
UGAGGAAUCUUGCGCAAUGGGGGCAACCCUGACGCAGCAACGCCGCGUGAGUGAAGAAGGCCUUCGGGUCGUAAAGCUCUGUCUAGCGGGAAGAACCUCCUUACGGUAAAUAGCUGUAAGGACUGACGGUACCGCUGAAGGAAGCUCCGGCUAACUCCGUGCCAGCAGCCGCGGUAAUACGGAGGGUGCAAGCGUUAUUCGGAAUCAUUGGGUGUAAAGCGCGUUUAUGCGGCUUGGUAAGUUAGAUGUGAAAGCUCUGGGCUUAACCCGGAAAGUGCAUUUAAAACUGCCUGGCUUGAGUCUCGUAGAUGAAGGUGGAAUUCCCAGUGUAGAGGUGAAAUUCGUAGAUAUUGGGAGGAACACCGGUGGCGAAGGCGACCUUCUGGGCGCAGACUGACGCUGAGACGCGAAAGCGUGGGGAGCAAACA